CAGACAGGAAGAUCGGUUGCGAGGGAACGGGCUCUAUCUCCGCCCUUCUCACAAACGACUGGCUACCUUGGGCUAAAUCAUCCCAGCGGAGCCAUACGGGAAGAAUUUUACUCAGAUGUAUACACGCUUGAGCAACAGAAAUCCCAAUCAGCGCCGAAAUUUCACAGUGACAGUUCCUUCGGAAAGUGGCCUCCCGACAGAGUCUGGGCACAAGACAAUGUUCGAGACAAACAUCACUUGUAUGAUGAAAUUAAGGAAGAUGCUCCUAACAGUGACAGUCUCCACGAUUACGAGCUAGCGAAGGACAUGGGCGCCAGCCAGUCAAAAUCUUAUUCUCUUGUAAAGGAAAAUGGCCCCGUUCGGAACAUUCGCACGAUAUCAGGUAACAGAAACAAGGACAACCGCCCUCCGGCGAAAGUCCCCAUCGUGAUAAAGAAAAAUAGCGCAACCGUGUUGAGUAAUAAUAAUGACAUCGAAAAAAACCGCCUGGGGAUGAAGAAGGAUAUUCGAUGGCUUAUCAGAAGGAUGCGCUACCAACCAGGGUGCGUCUUGGUGACUACACUCAGCCCGUGGAUGCUACCAACUUUACGUGGGGUCGGAACGACGAAUAUUGCGAACCCUACGUUGCAGAUCAGCUUAUCAAAGAGGCAGCUAAAAAGAGACAGUCAGACAACAAAGUGUCAGACAACAUGGACGUCAAUUCAGAAAGUACAGAUUAUAAUCGAAUCAACAGAAAGAUGGCUGUAAAAACACCCAGAGAAAGUGGUCAGACCAACCCCAACUCAUCGUCUGCUGUUGGCGGCGAUGGUUAUGACCAUGCCACUAGCUGGACAAGUAUUGCAAAGAGUUCCGAUUCGAGCCAUGAUACAUAUGAAGAACCGUGGGAUUCACGCACAAGACAGAGAGAUUUACAAAGUAAGCUGAAUAGAGCUCAAAGUGAAGAAAUUCCAAAACAGCUUCCAUAUCCUGACUCGAGACGAAUGUCUCAAGAUCCACCAGCCAUGCGACGUAAACCACAACCAUCGGACAUGUACGAAGAUGCAUGGGACUCUCCGUUUAAGCAAAAACUUUUAGAGGAGAAGUUGAAUGCUGCUAAGAGAGGUGGCGGGGCUGCUUCAAGGUCCCCUACUUCCCCCCUCCCCUCUUCCCUGCCCUCCACCUACGAGGAACCAUGGGAUAUCAAGAAGAGACAGAUGGAACUGGAGGGGAGGUUAGAAGCAACUCACAUCCACAAAUCCCCCAUUGGAACCCCCAUUAGUCCCUCGCGCCGUAGUCCCCAGCCCCGCAGUCCACAGCCCCGUAGUCCACAGCCCCGUCCCGGACUGGAUACUUACGAAGAGGCCUGGGACCUCAAGACAGGGGCCAAGGCAGUCAGCUUUCUCAGAAGCAAUUCCCAGCAAGACCGAGACCUGGCUCCCAGCUCCCCCCAGUCUCCUAACUCUGGCUCCCCAACCUACAAGCAGGUGCCCCGUAUCACCAUCCCAGCCACAGCCUGCACCAUAGGGGAGAGAAUCAACCCCAUCAUUCCCUUACAAAAGCAGAGCUGGUACCAAGGUCGUAUUUCCCGAGCUGAUGCUGAGAACACGUUGCGUGUCUGCAAGGAGGGGAGCUACCUGGUGCGAGAGUCCGAGUCCGAGAGGGGCCAGUACUCUCUCUCCAUCAAGAGCCGUUUAAUGAAUAUCCACCUGAGGAUUACCAAGCGUUCAAACGGGCAGUUUAUUCUUGGGGAAAACAGUGCAUUAUUUGAUACGAUCCCAGAAAUGAUUGAUUAUUACACCCAGCACCAGGUCCCACUCAAGGGGACACAGCAUCUCACGCUUCUGCACCCUGUGGAGCUUCACUAACAUGUGAGGCUACACUGAGGUGUGAGGCUGGACUAAGGUGUGAGGCUGGACUAUGGUGUGACACUGGACUAAGGUGUGACUAUGAUGUGGAGCUAGAUUGAGAUGCCAAGCACCUGUAAGGGACAGAGGAUGUCACGCUUAUGCCACCUGUGGAGAUCCACCAUAUGUGGAGACCUUGAAAGGUUACAGAGGGACAGAGCACCUCAGGUUUUGCACCCACUGAGCUCCACCAUAUGUGGAGACCUUGAAAGGUUACAGAGGGACAGAGCACCUCAGGUUUGGCACCCUUGAAGCUCCACUAAAGUGCUGAGCCAGGCUACACCUUAGUUACAAUGUUCACAGCGUUGACAGGAUGUGUGAUGAGAGAACACGGACUACAGUGAUCGAUGUGAAUGUGCUGGAGAGAUUGAAACUAUUAGAGAUCUGAGAAUAGCUGACACCUGAUUUCCAUCUGAUAAUGACAUCGGAUGUAAAAUUAUAGACACAGUGGUAUAGUCUUAAUAUGAUACAAACUGUGAUAAAGUUGAAGCAAGAUGACACACUGAUUAAUACUUUUGAAGAAAGAUUACAGUGUGAUUAAAACUACUGAAGAAAGGUGACGUGAUGAAGACUAUUAUAGAAAGAUGACACUUUGACUAAAAGUAUUGAAGAAAAAUGACAAUGUGAAGAAACUAUUAAAGAAAGAUGACAGUGUGGAAAAGAAAAUUGAAGAAAGAUAACAGAUGUUGAAGGAAGAUGAUACAGUGUUGAAAGAUAAUAUAGCAUAAUCAUAAUAUUACGACGAAUAGUGUUGAGAACAUCGAGAUAUCUUGUUUAGAAUCGACUUCCUAGAUGGCAUGAGAAUUUGAAAAAAAAAGUUUGCAAUUAAUGUGUUUCUCUGUUAUUAUGAAACCGUGCUUAUCCUGUAACACUCACUGUCGUAGAGACACUGCUUGAAUAAGUUAAUAUGUGCACGUCUCAUAACACUGUUCUUAAAUCAUGUAUACUCAACAAAAAUAGUUAGGGAUAAUGCAUAUUUAUGGUACAAUUAUUUGUUGUGUAGACUGUCAUAAGAAUGACCCCCAAACUGUUGAUGGUCCUCAAACUAUUUUUUUGCCCAGUAUAGAUAGCACAUUUGACUGUAGAUGAAACUUUCAUGGGAACUGUCAAAUCUGUCCUUUGAAUUCUACACUUGUUUUCUUUAAUUGUUGUUAAGCAGUAUUACAGACCAUGGCAUUCAGUUUCCUUAGAGUACCAGAAAAUAUGCUAACUUGUUUACAUAUCAUUAGCUUGUUGAAAUGUAAGUAGUUAUUUUUGUUAUUGCACACCAGAUAUUACAGAAUUUGGCUACGCUUAGGAACCGGUCAUUAUUUUUCUUAGCAAGUAACUCAACAAAAUAUGUUGGUUAUUGCUCUCCAGAACCAACAGCCAUGGUGAGCUAUUAUAGAAUUUGGCUUCGGGACCAGUCAUGUGUGGCAAGAGACUGGGAGGGUGGGGGUAUGAGGGUUUUGACAAACAGAAAAUAUUGACCCUCUCAUAUUUGUCAAUGAUCAUCCCCAUGUCAUGUACAUUUGUGACCUUCCUUAAAAAGAAAAAAAACAACAUUUUUCUUUGAGGGCAAAGUUGUUGAUUGGCCCACACAAAAUUAGGGUUGGGUAUUACCAAAAUUUUCAUAUUGCGAUAUAUAUUGUGGCAUGUGUCAGCGUAUUGCAAUAUGUAUUCCAAUGUAUUGUGAAUGUGUAACAGAUGGUUGAAGGUGAUGAAAUUAUUGUUUCCUUACGAUGCCACUGGCCACUGUCAGGACUCAGAUGUGAUUGUACAAGAGAUCAAUUGAAAAUGUUUCCAAAUAGAAGACUUCGCUCUAAAGUUUUGAACUGGAGAAAAAACGUCUGCAGUGGCAUCCGCCAUUUUGGUUUCUUUAUCAAUACAAUGAGUACAAUUUAUUUAUUUAUAUGGUUUAAAAGUCAUGCAAAUGCAAUUAUAUGACCACUAAACAUUCUCCAAACUGUUAAUGUAUAAUAAUAUAAAUGAAAUACAUGUUAUUAGUAUUUUUGACUACAUCAUGAAAAUUACCGAUCAUGGUCACGGAAACUGCCAAUCGUAUCGGGUGAACCGGUUCACGAAAAGUACCGCAAUAUAUCGUAUUGGGCAGUUUGAAUUGCAAUAUACUGGUUAACCAGUAUUAUCGCCCACCCCUACACAAAAUAUGGCAAUACAGUAUAGGUACUAAGGUUGCAAUGUUUCAUGCCAAGUCCCUUGAUUCAGUAGCUAAGCCUUCAGCCGACGUUUCAUCAGCAACGGAAGAGUUGUUUGUUUUACCUUCACUCAAUGUGAUGUUGUAUAAUUGGGUGUGCAAUACCUCAUAAUUGAGGUGUAUUGACAAAGCAAUCCUGAGAUUAUCAUUAGAUCAUAGGUGUUCGGACAUCACACAUUUAGACAGCAUCGUCAAACAGCAUUGUUUACUCACACUAUAAAGGGGGAUGUUGUGUCACACAGACAUUGUAAAAUAUUUGUGUUUGAGAUAUUAUAUAGGAGACGUUUUACAGUUGUUCAUAUCAAUAGCAAGAUAACAACGAGUGUUUCUUCAGCAUCCGAAAACCAAUGAUAUCCACUACUUAGUGCAUCUGUAUGAUGUCCAUGCCAAUAAACAUUCUUUGGUGAAAAACAGUUCAGGUUCAAGCCUAAAAAUUGAUGUAUGUGAUAUUUAUUACCAAUACCUUGUUUGAGAGUUAGCUAGCUUGCUUUAGAAAUAUUCUUCUACCUGCACUUGUCUUGCUACUGAUUCACUUGUAAAGGUUUACAAUUGUACAUUUUGAAAAAAAUAUAAUCAUAAUAUAUUUCCUGACAACUGUCUAUUGAUUAAUGUAAAUUCCUAUCUCAUCUGAUAGUGUCCAUUUCAGGCUUGGUACGUCCUCUCUAUUUGCAAUGUCCACUAAUGUGUUUAACUUUCACAAGUAUAUCUCCUGUCUCAAGCAAUGUUUGAAUUUGUGAAUUUAGAUCAGGAAUGUAGCAAUGAAUGAUUGAUGUUGAUAUCUGAGAGCUUCAACAAUAAAUAUAUGUAAAAUAUCGAGAAGGGCAGAGGGGUAGCCUAGUGGUUAAAGCUUUUGCUCGUCACACCGAAGACCUGGGUUCAAUUCCCCAUAUGGGUACAAUGUGUGAAGCCCUUUUCUGGUGUUCCCCGCUGUAAUAUUGCUGGAAUAUUACUAAGAGCGGCGUAAAACUAAACUUUUAAAUAACAAGAAUACAUUGGAUUUUAUGUAUUGAGAUACAGUGGCAAUACAAUUUUCGCAAGUCUUCCAAAUUGAAACCCAAUGUUACGGCUGUAGCAAACUGUAUGUUACCAUAGUUACUGUCUGUGUAACGAUGCCUUUAACCAUGUUGUAUGAGCCGGCAAUAUUUUUCAUCUCGGCCUCAAAAUCAUCGGACUACCAGAAAUGGACAUGCAAUAGUGGAGAGGAAGUGGUUAUAAUGCUUAAAUAUUUUACUUAAACUGUACCAUUUAUACUAUACUAACAUGUACAUGUGUGAUGACCCUUGCCUUGCUUCUAUGUGGUACUACUGUGUGUUAAGUGUAAUGGGACUUCCACUGCUGCAGUUAUUUAAACACAUUCCAAUGUAUGGCUGUUGUGGGGUAAUUGCUUCAAGGGAGACAACUCUCUUAUGCAUGAAUGUUAACUGGUGUACAUUUGUGUAUUGUCAUGGGUUUUUUCCAUACACUAGUGCUUUUAAGCUGAAAUAUAUUUAAUAUUUUGAAACAUGAGUUCAGCUGUUUUAUCUAACAGUUAUUACCGAAUUUAUCAUUGCAAUGAUGUUCAUUUUUAGAGUCAUUAUCAUCAUAAUGUCGUUUUUAUAAUAUCAACCUAAAAACUAUGGCUGUUUAUUACAGAAUAUUUGUGCUGAAAAUCAAACUUGAGUAUGUUGCCACGAUAGCGAACAUUAUAUGAUGAUGUUACAUGAAAAAUAUUAUAUUUGAAUAUGACAAUAUUUGUGCAUGUUUUAUGGAGUUGUUCAAGAAGAUAUUCAAUGGUGCUUUUACACUGUUACGGAGUAAAUAUGAUGCUGUCAUACCAAUCCAAAGUAUGUUCUCUGUGAGCUUCAGUCCUGUGUAUAUGGUGCACGUCCCUUGUAGGACCGAAACAUCUAGAACAUGGAUUUUCAUGCCUUAUAUGUGUUUAAUGACCAAAUACUAUAUUUAUCUGAAUGAUACGGAAACUUGUUAUUUUAUGUGAAUAAAUGGAACUAUUUUCAGUCUGCUUCAUUUAUUCUGUAAUAUUCAGACUAAAUCAGGUAGAAAAUACAUGAUAGAUUUGAUAGCAGAAUAUGUUUAUCUCGAUUUUGUGACCUGAAAAAGUUUAAAUAAACUUAAAAUCUUAAAAUAAGAACAAAAAUUCAGGUCAUGUGAUGAGAUGAACCUUAUUUGACAGGAGAUGAUGAUAUUGUCUGGAAGUAUGAUGUACAGAUAUGUUAUUUUGAUGGUCUUGCAUGUUUAUAUAGUACUCAAAGUAAAGGUAUAUAAUUUGCUGCCUUUCUGUGUGUAUGUAUUCGGUAGUUGAGCACAAGGACAAGUUCUUUGCAUGCAUGAUGAAGCAGGAACGACAUUAUCAAAUAUGAAAAUUCAAAAUAAUUUAUGAAUCAAGCAGUAUUUUCAUAGGCAUUACUUUUACACAGGCAGAUCUUUUUUAAACAGGAGAGGGGGGUAUAUCAUGUCUUAGGGUAGUCUAGUUGUUGAAGUGUUUGCUUAACACUCCGUGGACUAAGUUUAAUUCUCCCGUGGGGAGGAUGUGUAAAACUCAUAAUUGGAUUCCUUCACCAUGAGUUUACUUGAAUAUUGCUGUGAGCCAAUUCACACUACACUUAGAGUGCAUAUCACUUUAUGUCACCAUUUGACAAUGAUGCUCCUUCUAAAUGGGCGACACACAUACUUGUGAGUACUUGAAAAGUGCUGGAAAUGUUUGGUGUUAGGGUUUCUCGAAAAUCUUCUAGAUCUGAUACGGGAGAGAAUGUAUGACAACCAUUUCACAUAUCUGAGAAUAUGAAGCAGCUUGAUUUGUUUUCCACCAAACUGGACAUUUAUUUAGUUCUAAGAAUAUUGUCAUUACUGCCUAGCAGGUAGGGAAGUUUGUUAAACAGACAAAAACUUCUGCCAUUGUUGAGUUAUUCUCUUGUGCAUAAUGAGGGGGCAGAUGACUGAAGUCAUCACAUACACCGAAGUACAAUGUACAGAGGUUGCUUUCCUUUGGCUUGCCAGAAACCUACAAUCAUUAUCACAGUCCCAUUUUUCCAUGGUUUCAGGUUUGUAAGCCCCAUAGCCAAGAUGUUGGGUUUCACAAGAGUGAGUGAGUGAGUUUAACUUUAUGCUGCACUCAUCAAUAUUCCAGCUAUAUGGCAGGGUCUGUAAAUAAUCAUACAGAGUUACAUCCCUUUGGCACACCAGGAUGGUGGGUUCGAAUCUCAGUUAACCCCAGUUAUGUGUCUAGGUUAGUCAGCACCAUUCCUGUGGCUUUCACCAAAGUGGUAAAUAUUCGAGACCUUCAGCCCUACGAGAUUUCCUCCCACCUAACUCUGACAUACCUUGACAUAACUGGAGACUUGUGAAGAUCUGGCUUAGAAUUAGAACCCAUGCUUGUCAAAAGAGGCGACUAAGGAGUUCGGGUGGUCAGGCUUGCUGACAUCAUUAAUGAAUGUCAGUUACGUAGAUUGAAGCUCACGUUAAUCAUUGGAUUGUCUGGUCCAGACUCGAUUAUUUACAGACCGUAGCCGUCUAGCUGGAAUAUUGCUGAGUCUGGCAUUUAACAAGCAAAACAAAUGAUGUAACUAGAAUACUGUUUAUAUCAGCAUUGAACCUCACUCACUCACUCUGACAAGAACCCUAACUGAAGAAUAACUGUUAAAUUAAUAAGUUGUAGAUGAGAGCACAGUCAUUAAACAAUGCUAUUUUAGAAAGUGGUCAAAUGUAACAUAUGUUAUGCUUGGGAUUACACUUUCUUUGUAAAGUACAGAUUAUAGUACUGUUUGGGUUCGAAUCCCGAAUGGCACCAACCCCAAAAGUACUAGAAUCUGUACUUUACUGAGAAAGUAUAAUCCCAAGCAUAACAUAUGUUAUGAGAGAACAGUCAUGAUAUUAGGUUAUGUUUUGCAGAGAACUCAUUUGUCAUGUUUAUUUCAAUCUUCUUCUCAUCCUUGGUUGCUUUUAUUUUAUUCUUCUGUUCUUUUAGAGCUAUUGCUUGUUACAUGUGCUUAUGUACGUAACUUUUAACCAUAUUCUCAAUGUGUCAAAAUGGUUAUAAACUUUGUCUUCCUUCUUAAGACUGUUAUUGUUUAUAUGAAAUAAAUCAUAUCUCAAAUA
rnacentral:misc_RNA from 1 species